rnacentral:rRNA from 1 species
AGGUCUUGACAUCCUUUGACCACUCUAGAGAUAGAGCUUUCCCUUCGGGGACAAAGUGACAGGUGGUGCAUGGUUGUCGUCAGCUCGUGUCGUGAGAUGUUGGGUUAAGUCCCGCAACGAGCGCAACCCUUAUUACUAGUUGCCAGCAUUUAGUUGGGCACUCUAGUGAGACUGCCGGUGACAAACCGGAGGAAGGUGGGGACGACGUCAAAUCAUCAUGCCCCUUAUGACCUGGGCUACACACGUGCUACAAUGGAUGGUACAACGAGUUGCGAGACCGCGAGGUUUAGCUAAUCUCUUAAAACCAUUCUCAGUUCGGAUUGUAGGCUGCAACUCGCCUACAUGAAGCCGGAAUCGCUAGUAAUCGCGGAUCAGCAUGCCGCGGUGAAUACGUUCCCGGGCCUU